UGUAAAUGUAAAUGUAAAGUCGCUCUGGAUAAGAGCGUCUGCUAAAUGACUUAAA
rfam:Salmo salar isolate Sally breed double haploid chromosome ssa09, whole genome shotgun sequence.